rnacentral:tRNA from 1 species
UCGGCCUUGCGAAGCUUUGCUUCGGGGGUGGACUUCUGGAUCGCGUAGCAGCGUUUGCGUCGGUAUCUGGGCUUGUAGCUCAGUUGGUUAGAGCACACGCUUGAUAAGCGUGGGGUCGGAGGUUCAAGUCCUCCCAGGCCCACCAUGUUACAUGAUAAGGGGCCGUAGCUCAGCUGGGAGAGCACCUGCUUUGCAAGCAGGGGGUCGUCGGUUCGAUCCCGUCCGGCUCCACCAUCGUGUUUUGGUGUAGAGACGGAUAUUGGCAAUCAACGAAAGAAAGAAACAAGUUUGCGGACUUUUAUGAAAGUCUGCCUGUUCUGUAUGAAAUCGUGAAGAGAAGAUGUAAUCGGAUCAACUAUCCAGUUGAUGUCGCAAGAGCUUGCUCAAGCCUUGCAUUAUGAUUGAUGUGUUUAACCGCCAUCACCGAUUGUAUCU